GAUGAACGCUGGCGGCGUGCCUAAUACAUGCAAGUCGAGCGAACAGACGAGGAGCUUGCUCCUCUGACGUUAGCGGCGGACGGGUGAGUAACACGUGGAUAACCUACCUAUAAGACUGGGAUAACUUCGGGAAACCGGAGCUAAUACCGGAUAAUAUAUUGAACCGCAUGGUUCAAUAGUGAAAGACGGUUUUGCUGUCACUUAUAGAUGGAUCCGCGCCGCAUUAGCUAGUUGGUAAGGUAACGGCUUACCAAGGCAACGAUGGGUAGCCGACCGGAGAGGGUGAUCGGCCACACUGGAACGUGGACACCGACCAGACUCCUACGGGAGGCAGCAGUAGGGAAUCUUCCGCAGUGGGCGAAAGCCUGACGGAGCAGCGCCGCGUGAGUGAUGAAGGUCUUCGGAUCGUAAAACUCUGUUAUUAGGGAAGAACAAAUGUGUAAGUAACUAUGCACGUCUUGACGGUACCUAAUCAGAAAGCCACGGCUAACUACGUG
rnacentral:rRNA from 1 species